UACGGGGGGGGCAAGCGUUGUUCGGAAUUACUGGGCGUAAAGGGCGCGUAGGCGGUUUGCUAAGUUGGAUGUGAAAACUCUGGGCUUAACCCAGAGCCUGCAUCCAAAACUGGCAAACUUGAGUACUGGAGGGGAAAGCGGAAUUCCUGGUGUAGCGGUGAAAUGCGCAGAUAUCAGGAGGAACACCGGUGGCGAAGGCGGUUCUCUGGGACGGUACUGACGCUGAGACGCGAAAGCGUGGGGAGCGAACAGG
rnacentral:rRNA from 1 species